CUGAGUGGUCUCCUUCGCGGCCUUCAAACCUAGAACAGCCCACU
rnacentral:tRNA from 13 species